rnacentral:rRNA from 1 species
UGUCUUGGUAAAUGGAAUGAUGGUGACCUAAACCCUCACCAGAGUAACAAUUGGAGGGCAAGUCUGGUGCCAGCAGCCGCGGUAAUUCCAGCUCCAAUAGCGUAUAUUAAACUUGUUGCAGUUAAAAAGCUCGUAGUUGAAUUUCUGCGUCACCGUAUUUUGACUUUUGUCGACUGUCGGUUUCGCUUUUGGGAUUUAUCCCUUUUUACUUUGAGAAAAUUAGAGUGUUUCAAGCAGACUUUUGUCUUGAAUACUUCAGCAUGGAAUAAUAGAGUAGGACUUUGGUUCUAUUUUGUUGGUUUGUGAACCUUAGUAAUGGUUAAUAGGAACGGUUGGGGGCAUUCGUAUU